rnacentral:tRNA from 1 species
AGCAGUGUGGCUCAGUGGAAAGAGCAUGGGCUUGGGAGUUGGAGGUCAUGGGUUCGAAUCCCAGCUCUGCCA